rnacentral:pre_miRNA from 7 species
AUUCACACCUUUAAUGAGGUGAAACUGAAAGAACCUAGUGGGGAAACCCCCACUCAACUCCCAAUUCGGCGUGCACCCAAGAAUCACGAAUAGAACA